rnacentral:rRNA from 1 species
AGCGCAACCCUCGACCUUAGUUGCCAGCAUUCAGUUGGGCACUCUAAGGUGACUGCCGGCUAAAAGUCGGAGGAAGGUGGGGAUGACGUCAAAUCAUCAUGCCCCUUAUGACCUGGGCUACACACGUGCUACAAUGGGCGGUACGAAGGGUCGCGAACCCGCGAGGGGGAGCCAAUCCCAAAGAGCCGCUCUCAGUUCGGAUUGCAGGCUGCAACUCGCCUGCAUGAAGCCGGAAUCGCUAGUAAUCGCGGAUCAGCAUGCCGCGGUGAAUACGUUCCCGGGCCUU